rnacentral:tRNA from 1 species
GGGGCUGUAGCUCAACUGGGAGAGCGCUGCGUUCGCAUCGCAGAGGUCACGGGUUCGAGUCCCGUCAGCUCCACCA